rnacentral:rRNA from 1 species
CCUGGGGGGCUGCAGUGGGGAAUAUUGGGCAAUGGGCGCAAGCCUGACCCAGCAACGCCGCGUGAAGGAAGAAGGCUUUCGGGUUGUAAACUUCUUUUCUCAGGGACGAAGAAAGUGACGGUACCUGAGGAAUAAGCCACGGCUAACUACGUGCCAGCAGCCGCGGUAAUACGUAGGUGGCAAGCGUUAUCCGGAUUUAUUGGGUGUAAAGGGCGUGUAGGCGGGAGCGCAAGUCAGAUGUGAAAACUCAGGGCUCAACGUGGGAACUGCCUUUGAAACUGGCAAACUGGAGUGUGUGAGAGGAUAGUGGAAUUCCAGGUGUAGGAGUGAAAUCCGUAGAUAUCUGGAGGAACAUCAGUGGCGAAGGCGACUAUCUGGCACAUAACUGACGCUGAGGAGCGAAAGCGUGGGUAGCAAACAGGAUUAGAUACCCGAGUAGU